rnacentral:lncRNA from 1 species
AUGUAAACUCCACUUUUGUAUGCACUGGAAAACCAAAAAGCUUGUGUAACUGGCUUUAUUUCCCUAUUUGCUUUUAUUGUGGUAGUCUGGAACAGAACCUGAAAUGUCGCCCAGGAAUGUCUGUCUUUUCUACUGAGAUGGGAUCUCACUGUGUUGCUGAGGCUGGUCUCCAACUCCUGGCCUCAAGCGAUCCUCCUGCCUCGGCCUCCCAAGGCACUGGGAUUACAGGCGCAGCCACUGAGCCCACCUGAAAUCGAUGCUCUUAUACAAAUAUUUGCACAACUGCGGCCCACACCCAUUUGUUGUCCUUUGGCUUGGUCGCACUGCAGAAGAUAAAUUUGGUGUGAAUGCCGUGGUUAGCUUCUCAGCCAUGUCCUUGAUGGCUUCUGGGCUUUGUUUU